CGACCGGCGCACGGGUGAGUAACACGCAUGCAACCUGCCCUCUUCAGGGGGACAACCUUCCGAAAGGGAGGCUAAUCCCGCGUAUAUCGGUUUCGGGCAUCCGAGAUCGAGGAAAGAUUCAUCGGAAGAGGAUGGGCAUGCGGCGCAUUAGCUAGACGGCGGGGUAACGGCCCACCGUGGCGACGAUGCGUAGGGGUUCUGAGAGGAAGGUCCCCCACACUGGUACUGAGACACGGACCAGACUCCUACGGAAGGCAGCAG
rnacentral:rRNA from 1 species